rnacentral:lncRNA from 1 species
AUGGAGCAAGUUCUGGAUCUGAUGGACUGGUCUAUGGAGGUAACCCCUAAUUUUCCUGUUUCCCCGCUGGUUCCGUCCAGCCCUGACUCCCCUGUAUACCCUCUCAGUCUCCCACUCCUACCUCCUCCAGUCAUUUCCUCUGCUCCAUUUCCGCUGGUUCUGCCCAGCCCUGAGUCUUCUGUUUCUCCGCUGGUUCCGCCCAGCCCUGAGUCUUCUGUUUCUCCGCUGGUUCCGCCCAGCCCUGAGUUUUCUGUUUCUCCGUUGGUUCCGCCCAGCCCUGAGUCUUCUGUUUCUCCGCUGGUUCCGCCCAGCCCUGAGUCUUCUGUUUCUCCGCUGGUUCCGCCCAGCCCUGAGUCUUCUGUUUCUCCGCUGGUUCCGCCCAGCCCUGAGUCUUCUGUUUCUCCGCUGGUUCCGCCCAGCCCUGAGUUUUCUGUUUCUCCGCUGGUUCCGCCCAGCCCUGAAUCUUCUGUGUGUCCGCUGGUUCCGCCCAGCCCUGAAUCUUCUGUGUGUCCGCUGGUUCCGCCCAGCUCUGAAUCUUCUGUGUGUCCGCUGGUUCCGCCCAGCCCUGAGUCUUCUGUUUCUCCGCUGGUUCCGCCCAGCCCUGAGUUUUCUGUUUCUCCGCUGGUUCCGCCCAGCCCUGAAUCUUCUGUGUGUCCGCUGGUUCCGCCCAGCCCUGAAUCUUCUGUGUGUCCGCUGGUUCCGCCCAGCUCUGAAUCUUCUGUGUGUCCGCUGGUUCCGCCCAGCUCUGAAUCUUCUGUAUCUCCUGUGUUCCCUCCCAGCCUCCCUCUCCCACCUCCUCCAGGACCUGCUGGUCCCUCUGCCCCACUUUCGCUGGUUCCGUCCAGUCCUGAUCCUCCUGUCCUUCCUCCCAUCCUUCUCCUCUCUCCUCCUCCUAGACCAGCCAGUUCCUCGUCAUCCCUGCUGGUGCCAGUCAGUCCCGCAGCUCACCCUCAGUCCGCGCCAUCGGGGCGCGAUGGUUCGCCACUGGACUGCCAGUCUCCAGCUCUGCCUUGGCGCGUUAAGGCCCUGUCUCCGCCUCCAGCCUCCGAGCCCUGGACUCCUCCUCGGUCCUUCGACCCAGCGGCUCCGCCUUGGCUCUUAGCUCCCUCGUCUCCACCGUGGCCUGUCAUCCCACCUGCUCCACCGGGCUCCCUCGUCCCUCCGGCUCCACCUUGGUCAGUCGUCGACCAUCCGCCGCCUCGGGACUCCACUCCUCCGGUUCCACCUCGUCUUUCCAUCCCUCCGGCUCUGUCAGGCUCCUCCUUCCCUCCGGUUCCACCUCCAUCCUCGGUCGCUCCGGCUCCACAGCGGUCUGCCAGGACCCCGCCUCCGCCUUGGUCGCCUGAGCCUUCUGCUCCACCUAGGCCCUCCGGAACCUCGACGUCCCCCUGGCUCUGCGGCUGUGCUGCUCCAUCUUGGGCUCCUCACCCACCGGUGCAGUCUCCGCCUGUCGGCCCCCUGGUGUCGUCGACCCUUCCUUCACCAUGGCUCCUCCCGCCGUCGACCCCACCUUGGAUCUCCGUCCUGGCUGGUCUCUGGUGGACCAUCUGGCUCCUCCUGCUCCUGUCUCCUCCCUGGCUCCUCCCUCCGUCGUCUCCUCCCUGGCUCCUCCUUCUGUGGUCCCUGUCUGCUGGCCCCCUCCUGGGAGUCCGUCCUCCACCGGAACCUCCUCACAAGUUCCCACCCACGCCUCCCUCUGUUGUUUCUACGGUGCGAGGACGCACCUACCGGGAGGGGGGAGUACUGUCACACCUGGACUCAUUUAGUGUGUUUUUGCCCGUGACCCAGUUUGUGUCUUUCCGUGUUUGGUUUGAUUAG